UUAAAACAUCAGUUCCUAUACAGUCACCGAAGUUAAGCAAUGUUGAGCAUGUUUAGUAUUUAGAUGGGUGAUCACUUGGGAAUACCAGGUGCUGUAAU